GGGAGGGGGAAUGUCAAGGACAUCGGGAAGGACAUUGAAGCCGGGGAGUUGAGUGGGUAGCCUCAACCAGGGAGGCCAGAUGGAGCAAAGGAGUCAUGGGAGGCUGAGAAGAAGACCCCGGAGAUCUGGAGAGCUCAUGCCACAUCUUGAAGGACCAGCCAGGAUGCACUCCGCUUCCUUCAAAUUACCCCGACCCCUGUGACUUGAGUUUGCCCCCACUGGCCUGCAGAUAAGGAAACUGGGGCCCAGAGAGGUGAUGCGAUGCGAGCAGGGAAUGCAACUACUCCCUCAGCCUUGGCUGAACACCGUGCCUACCCCAGGCGAGAAGAUUGUCUUCUUCCACUUGGCUCCCUCUACUCUGCUCCUCAGCUUAAGAGGUUUACAGAGGAGACAACCACAGCCCAAAGAGAUUAUCUGAGACGUUAUGACUCCAUGCUCCGCUCUCAGAGAAGUCAAAGCCCAUGAUUUUCGAGGAUGCCUUCCAUCUGUGGGGAACACAAGGAUCCCAUGCAGGAAACAAUGAGAGAACAGCACAACAUGCACAGUACCACCCCAGGAGGGCCUGCUGGUCAGUGCUCCAGACUUUUGAACGACUUGUAAUUUCUGGACAACAUAAUGUUCUUUUCAUCUGUAGGCUUUUGCACAUACCAUUUCCUCUGCCUCAAAGCCUAUUCCUCACUCCUCUCCCCACCAUGACCUGCAUUUACCUAGCUACACCCCAUUCAUUUUGGACCAACUUAAAUACCAUCUCCUCCAGGAAGCCUUCUCUGACACCCAUUGUUUGGUGCCCCAUCCAGGUGCCUCCUUGGCACCUGAUGCCUCUUAGAUCAUUCACCAAUCACAUUGUCCUAUAAUGACUUGAUUGUAUUUCUGUCUCCCCCA
rnacentral:lncRNA from 1 species